GUGGGGAAUAUUGCACAAGUCGGGGGAAACCCUGAUGCAGCAACGCCGCGUGAGUGAAGAAGUAUUUCGGUAUGUAAAGCUCUAUCAGCAGGGGAAAGAAAAUGACAGUACCUGACUAAGAAGCCCCGGCUAACUACGUGCC
rnacentral:rRNA from 1 species